rnacentral:rRNA from 1 species
UACUCCUACGGGAGGCAGCAGUGGGGAAUUUUGGACAAUGGGCGCAAGCCUGAUCCAGCCAUGCCGCGUGUCUGAAGAAGGCCUUCGGGUUGUAAAGGACUUUUGUCAGGGAAGAAAAGGGCGGGGUUAAUACCCCUGUCUGAUGACGGUACCUGAAGAAUAAGCACCGGCUAACUACGUGCCAGCAGCCGCGGUAAUACGUAGGGUGCGAGCGUUAAUCGGAAUUACUGGGCGUAAAGCGGGCGCAGACGGUUACUUAAGCAGGAUGUGAAAUCCCCGGGCUCAACCUGGGAACUGCGUUCUGAACUGGGUGACUAGAGUGUGUCAGAGGGAGGUAGAAUUCCACGUGUAGCAGUGAAAUGCGUAGAGAUGUGGAGGAAUACCGAUGGCGAAGGCAGCCUCCUGAGAUAACACUGACGUUCAUGCCCGAAAGCGUGGGUAGCAAACAGGAUUAGAUACCCUGGUAGUCCACGCCCUAAACGAUGUCGAUUAGCUGUUGGGCAGCAUGACUGCUUAGUAGCGAAGCUAACGCGUGAAAUCGACCGCCUGGGGAGUACGGUCGCAAGAUUAAAACUCAAAGGAAUUGACGGA